GGGUUCACAGAUCACAAAUUCCAAAGCUCUGUCAACGUCAGGAGACACAAGUUUCCUGAGGCUGCCGACCCUGCAGCAGUUAAACCAAAAGCCCCUUUCAGUGUUUGCACGCUGACAGUUCAGAAGAGCAGCAAAUAUCUUCAACUAUUUAUUUAGAAAUAAAAUUGGCUAUAGACAGAGUAAUGCUGCUGAGAAUUGGGAUCCAGUUAUGAGAUGCAGCAAAAGAGACUGACAAGAACAAUUCACUGAAUGGGAUCUUGGAGGGAAAAUGUGGUGCUGCAGUGAUAACUUGUACCAUACAAUACAAUUUUCAUCCUAAGAUGCUUCCUCUGGGGGAGAGCAGUUUGAAUACUCUGGAAGGCUCAUAAUUUAAAAGUUCCUCUAGUUAAA